rnacentral:tRNA from 1 species
GAGGAUUUAGUUAAAUUAUAAUAUUGCCUUGUCAAGGCAAAAUUGCAAGUU